rnacentral:rRNA from 1 species
CCGCAGCAGCCGCGGUAAUUCCUACGGGAGGCAGCAGUGGGGAAUUUUGGACAAUGGGCGCAAGCCUGAUCCAGCCAUGCCGCGUGAGUGAAGAAGGCCUUCGGGUUGUAAAGCUCUUUCAGCCGGGAAGAAAAGGCUGCGACUAAUAAUCGUAGCUCAUGACGGUACCGGAAGAAGAAGCACCGGCUAACUACGUGCCAGCAGCCGCGGUAAU